UGGGGGUGGUGGGAGUGGAGGGGGGGGUUGGGGAUAGAAGGAGACAGAGACACAGACUCCCUACCCAGCACAGGGCUGGAUCCCAUGACCUUGAGAUCAUGACCUGAACCAAAGGCAGACACUUCACCGACUGAGCCACGCAGGCACCCGAGUAGCAAAUGAUUUUAGUUUUUAUCCAAAAAUAUUUAUAAUCAUCAAAAAUAGUUCUGACUUUUCCCCUUUGCCAAAGGGCUUGCUGCUCAAGAUAAGUUAAAUCUGGAUCUGUUUCCGGGAGUUAAAGGUCUUGAGCACUCGCGUGGCUUUGCUGCAACUGCACAGCAUCGGGGUCGAAGGUGGAAUCUAAGCCCACCUGGCUCCUUCCCUUCUCCCUGGAAUCUGCAGGCUCCCAGGCCAAACCCAGCGCACCCCUUCGGAAACAGGGUUCUGUCUUGACAAGCCGGAACACUGCUGGAGCUGGGAACGAGUAGAAGCUUCUCUGCCAGGUGCAUUUACAUCCGGGUUUCAUCUUUCUCUUAAGGCAGCUUCGCUGGCGCAGGUACCUGCGUGGGAAGGUGAAGACGCAAAGCGCUCAGCACCCGCCAUCCUUUCACAGAGGACAUGGGGCCGGGCUGUUCCUCGAGGGAGGCGGACCACCGCUGCCUGGGCAAGUGCGGCGUGGGGGCAGGAGAAUCGUCUAGAGCCUGGCUGCUCAAAGGGUGGUUCGGGAACCGAAGCGUAUCAACACUACUUGGUAUGA
rnacentral:lncRNA from 1 species